rnacentral:rRNA from 1 species
CUAAGGCUCCAGAGGAAGCCACGGCUAACUCUGUGCCAGCAGCCGCGGUAAUACAGAGGCGGCAAGCGUUGUUCGGAAUUAUUGGGCGUAAAGAGCACGUAGGCGGCCUUGCAAGUCAGUUGUGAAAGCCUUCCGCUUAACGGAAGAAUGCCAGCUGAUACUACAGGGCUUGAGUACGGGAGGGGAGAGUGGAUCUUCUGGUGGAGCGGUGAAAUGCGUAGAUAUCAGAAGGAACGCCGGCGGCGAAAACGACUCUCUGGCCCGAAACUGACGCUGAGUGUGCGAAAGCUAGGGGAGCAAACGGGAUUAGAUACCCCGGUAGUCCUAGCCGUAAA